rnacentral:rRNA from 1 species
ACUCCCGGCACGGGGAGGUAGUGACGAUAAAUNACAAUACNGGACUUUUAUUGNGGCCCNGUAAUUGGAANGAGUACAAUAUAAAUCCUUUAACAAGGAUCUAUUGGAGGGCAAGUCUGGUGCCAGCAGCCGCGGUAAUUCCAGCUCCAAUAGCGUAUAUUAAAGUUGNUGCGGUUAAAAAGCUCGUAGUUGUAAUUCAGUUCAUGUCNNUAGGUCCACUAUUNUAGUGGUUACNGUAUCGGUACNGAACAAUGAACCGAUUUGUUUGNUGAUGCUCUUUACCGAGUGUCAUUAACGAUCGGUACCUUUACUUUGAAAAAAUUAGAGUGCUCAAAGCAGGCGUAAGCAAGCCUGAAUAUUCUUGCAUGGAAUAAUGGAAUAGGACCUAGGUUNUAUUCUGUUGGUCUUCUGAACCUAAGAUAAUGAUUAAGAGGGACAGACGGGGGCAUUCGUAUGCGCGCUAGA